rnacentral:rRNA from 1 species
ACAAUAGUAAGCGGAGGAUAACAAACUAAACGAGGACCCUCCAUAGUAAUGGCGAAUGAACAGGGGUGAGCUCAUUGUGGAAAUUGGGGCAUGGUGCUUUGACUUGUAAUGGAGUGUGGCAUUGCUGACAGAGGCGCAGAUGUAAGUCUCUUGGAACAGAGCACCAAUGGAGGUGAGAGUCCUGCUUGGCGUUUGCAGCACAUCCCCUGUGCAUGGCGUGCAUGGGUAGAAUCACGCUCCUUGGAAGUGGAGCGCAAAGGGGGUGGUAGCUUUCAUCUGAAGCCAACCAUGGGUUCAGGACCGAUAGGAAACAAGUACCAUGAGGGAAAGGUGAAAAGGACUUUGGACAGAGAGUUAAACGUGCCUGAACUUGCUGAAGGAGAAGUGAACGGAACCAGUGUUGCUGGGUGAGAUUGCUGCAUGUGUUGCAGAUUAGUUGCCGAGUAGGUGUGUGCAACCUGUCAAUGGUUGAGUGUGUGUGUGUGUGCGUGUGUGGCGUGUCUUGCCCUGCAUGCCAUCGUGCGCUUAUGCUCUAAGACAACUCAAUGUGCAUGGUGACAUGUUUCAGAACCUAAGAAUGUGACAUGUGUGAUUGGGUAUAAGCUUGUCCAUUUUUUGCAUGGCUGCCGAGCUUGUUGCCCACAGCGGUUAGCGUGAUUGGGCGAAGCAUUCCUCUUCGCAGUAGUUGACUAAAUGGGGUUGU